AGCGAACGCUGGCGGCAGGCCUAACACAUGCAAGUCGAACGAAGUCUUCGGACUUAGUGGCGGACGGGUGAGUAACACGUGGGAACGUGCCUUUAGGUCCGGAAUAACUCAGGGAAACUUGUGCUAAUACCGAAUGUGCCCUUCGGGGGAAAGAUUUAUCGCCUUUAGAGCGGCCCGCGUCUGAUUAGCUAGUUGGUGAGGUAAAGGCUCACCAAGGCGACGAUCUGUAGCUGGUCUGAGAGGAUGAUCAGCCACAUUGGGACUGAGACACGGCCCAAACUCCUACGGGAGGCAGCAGUGGGGAAUCUUGCGCAAUGGGCGAAAGCCUGACGCAGCCAUGCCGCGUGAAUGAUGAAGGUCUUAGGAUUGUAAAAUUCUUUCACCGGGGACGAUAAUGACGGUACCCGGAGAAGAGGCCCCGGCUAACUUCGUGCCAGCCGCCGCCGUAA
rnacentral:rRNA from 1 species